rnacentral:lncRNA from 1 species
AAGUAAAUGUCAUAUGAUGUUUGUCUUAGUUAGGGUUUCCGUUGCUGUGAAGACACCAUGACCAAGGCAACUCUUAUAAAGUAAACAUUUAAUUGGGGCUGGCUUACAGGUUCAGAGGUUCAGUCUAUUAUCAUCAUGGCAGGAAGCAUGGCAGCAUCCAGGCAGACAUGGUGCUGAAAACUCUACAUCUUGAUUGAAGGCAGCAAGCAGGAAAGACUCUUUCCUACUGAGUGGAGCUCGAGCACUAGGGGCCCUCACAGCCUGCCUACACAGAAACACGCUUCCUCCAAUGUCACGCCGCCUAAUAGUGCCACCUCCCACAGUCCAAGCAUAUUAAAACCACCACAACGUAAGAGAAGAGAACUAUGGCAUACAUUUUUGCCUGUUUUGUUACAUUCUCAGUGUGAGAUAAUGUAUAACUCCAGUAAACCAAAUGUUUAUUGAAUUGAUGACAAAUUAAACAAGGAAAAUACCGUCCACCGCAGAGCCACGAACAGGAUUAGCUGAGGAAGUGAAUGGAGCACCUUAGGAGAAUGCUGAUACUAGCAAGUCCCAUGGAUAACUAGGUAUUGUUAGGGCUUCACUCUGCAAUGUCCUCCACACACUCAUGUUUGAACAGUUGUUCCUCAGCCAGUAGUGUCACUUUGGAAGUCUGAAGGUCUUGGGAGGUGACACUAGCUUCUGGAAGUUUGUGAUAGGCUAGCCCCUGCUGCUGGCAUGUGCCACUGAACUGAAUGGCUCCACAACACCUUCCUGACCUGAAACCACUCUAAAGCUGUGAGCCAAAACCAAACCUUUUCCCUGUUUCUCUCAGAUAAUGUGGCCACAGAGAUCUAGAGAUACAGAUGUGUGUUAAGCUCAGUGCUCUAUCAUACAAGUGUAGCAUGUAAAUACAGAUUUCUUUAAUGUGGAUGAGUGUUUUGCCUGUACGUUCCUCUGGGAACCAUGUAAGUGCAAUGCCUGUGGAGGUGAGAAGAGGGCAUCAGAUCCCCUGGAACUGGAGCUACAGUGGUUGAAAGCUGUCAUGUGGUGCUGAGAAGUGAACCUGGGUCCUUUGGAAGAACAGCCAGUGUUCUUAGCCUCUCAGCCAUGUCUCUAGCCCUGGCCUAGCCAGGCUCUGUAGUUACUUUUGUCUACAUGUUUUCUUUUAGAUAUAUUUUAUGCAUGUGUGUGUUUUACCUUCAUGGAUAUAUGUCUACCACAUGCAUGCUCUGGCCCUCAGAGGUCAGAAAGGCCCAAAUGCCCUAGAACUGAAGUUACACAUAGUUUUGAGCCACCACUUGUCAUUGUUUCCUGAACCACUGGCUGCACUGACUUGAAGGUCUGGUUUUUUGGAGCUAAUGAUUUUAUUAUUAACUUAGUAAUAUCUUGGUUUCUCUAAAGCUAAUACUGUACCUGCUGUUGCUAGCUCUAUACAAGGUUUUUGCUAGUUUUCUACCCAUUCUCCGUUACUCCAGGUCUAGGGACUCCAAAGAAAGAAAACAUCCCCCUUUAUCUGUCAUUCAGGAGUUGGCUCCUUUCUCUUUAUCCUGACAAAGUCCUUAACUGCCCUUUAGCUAUUUUUUUUUAAAUUUGUAUUCGUGAGCUUUCAGGCUAUAGCCUGUGUGCUCUCCUGCUCUGUGGGUUCCAGAGAUCAAAUGUUACUUGUCAUGCAUAGUGGGGAUGUCUUUACUGCCUGAGCCAUCUCACUGGCCCAUUAACAGUCUUUUGACCUGCCCCAAUCUAGUUUGGCUGGCUAAUUUGCUAUACAUGUUGUUGUUGUUGUUGUUGUUGUUGUCAAGACAGGGUCUCCCUGUGUAGCUCUGGCUGGCUUGAACCUCACUAUGUAGUUCUUGAUGGCCUCAAUCUCACAGAGAUUGGUCUGCCUCUUUCUCCCAAGUGCUGGGAUUAAAGGUGUGCACCACCAUGGCUGACGAGGUUUGAAUCUUGGACCCUUACUUUACCAGUGUCCUGAGAAUGCGCCUCAUCUAGUUAAUGUUGAGCCUUUUGUUUUCUGGAUCUGUCUAUCUCUCUGUUUGUUCCAUCCUAAUGGCAGAAACUACCCAGAACUCCAGUAAAAACAGCGGCGGGCAGGCUUCUGACAGGUCACCGAGAAACCUUUACAUUGAGUCAGUCAGUACAGAAUUCUAGUUUGGGAGCCACUUUCCAUCAGAAUCUUGAGAGUAUACUCUAACUCUCUUUAGUUCUAGAAUCAUACUGAAAACAAGAUCCCAUUCUAGUGACUAAGUCUUUGGCUUUGCUUCUCUCCGCCUCUGAAGAGUCUUUAGGAUCCUAUUUCCCUGCCCAGCCUCCCAAGUGCUUCCUUCUAACAGCUCAUGAUUUGUGGUACUGGUCUGCUAAAGUGAAGCCUGGAAAGUCAGUAUGAGUGAAUGAGUCCUGUCAUUAGUGGGAGUCACUGUGCAACUAUCUGGCAUGGACCAGAUCAUGUCACAGUUGGUGUCUGCCCAUUCCCCCCUUGGUUAAUCAGUUUUCUGAGAGAGUCGUCCUUUUGUCUCCUGCCCGGAUGAAACCGAGGCAGACACGUUCUGGAGAAUUCACUUGAUUCUUGCUCCAUUUCCUCUAACGUUCAGUUACCUGUUUCAGCCACACUUGGUACCUGAACUUAGGACGUCUCUGGUCUGCUGUCUUUAGGGCAAGUUUCUUAUCCUCUGUUGGGGAAGCAGCUGGCUGGAUAAAAUAGGGAGGGGAUUCCGUCUAAGACGCUUCUUUUAAGGCCUCUCAGUCUCGUUUCUAGACUCCCACACACGUUUCCUUUUACAAGUACUACUUUAUGGUCCGUCCUGAGGAUCUCCUGCCCGGAUCAAUCUGCGUCUUAGUAUUGCUUCUCUUGCUAUAGGCUUUGUUUCACCAUCUUCUCCUUUACUGAGGCCGCUACUCAUGCAUUUUUAUAUCUAAAAGUGCUGUUGGUUCUCACCUACUCUUGUGUUUAGUUCUAGUGGUUUAUUUACAUUCACGUGAUUGCUUUGCCUAUUUUAUGAUGGAGUUUGUAUUUGAGGAGAUGCCUGAAGGAGAACAACGAGUGACACUAAUGAGUGUGCUGUGUUUAUUUUCAGGGAAACUCGCCAUUUAUUGGCCUGCUUUUUGUUAAAACAAAUAAGGGACUAAAGAGAUGGCUCAGCAAUAAAAAGCCUAUGGUGCAAACACAAGAAUCUGAGUUCAGCUUCUUUUUUUUUUUUUUCUUAAAGAUUUAUUUUUAUUUAUUUAUUUAUUAUGUGUAAGUACACUGUAACUGUCUUCAGACACUCCAGAAGAGGGCAUCAGAUUUUGUUACAGAUGGUUGUGAGCCACCGUGUGGUUGCUGGGAUUUGAACUCAGGACCUUCAGAAGAGCAGUUGGCACUCUUAACCACUGAGCCAUCUCACCAGCUCCCUGAGUUCAGCUUCUUAGCACACAUGGAAAGAGCUGGAUUUGGUAGUUGUCUUUAACCCUAGCACUGCCGGCAUGGGGACGCACUGCUCCUUAGAGCUUGCAGUCCAGCUAGCCUAACCAAAAAGGGACCCUUGUCUCCAAGAAAACGUGUGGAAGGCAGUUGAGGAAGUGUAUCUCUGGCCUCUACAUGCCUCCUCCCACAUGUGUGCCUGCAGAUGUGCACAUGCACAUACGCACACCUGAAAUAGUUGUUA